rnacentral:rRNA from 1 species
UACGAAGGGGGCUAGCGUUGCUCGGAAUCACUGGGCGUAAAGCGCACGUAGGCGGAUUGUUAAGUCAGGGGUGAAAUCCUGGAGCUCAACUCCAGAACUGCCUUUGAUACUGGCGAUCUCGAGUCCGGGAGAGGUGAGUGGAACUGCGAGUGUAGAGGUGAAAUUCGUAGAUAUUCGCAAGAACACCGGUGGCGAAGGCGCUCAUCUGGCCCAAUACUGACGCUGAGGCGCGAAAGCUAGGGGAGCAAACGGG